rnacentral:rRNA from 1 species
AGCAGCCGCGGUAAUUCCAGCUCCAAUAGCGUAUAUUAAAGUUGUUGCAGUUAAAAAGCUCGUAGUUGAAUUUCGGGGUUAGUAGGUUGGUCAUGCCACUGGUAUGUACUGAUCUUACUGAUUCCUCCUUCCUGAUGAACCGUAAUGCCAUUAAUUUGGUGUUGCGGGGAGACUGGACUGUUACUUUGAAAAAAUUAGAGUGUUUAAAGCAGGCUAACGCUUGAAUACAUUAGCAUGGAAUAAUGAAAUAGGACGUUCGAUCCUAUUUUGUUGGUUUCUAGGAUUGACGUAAUGAUUAAUAGGGAUAGUUGGGGGCAUUAGUAUUCAAUUGUCAGAGGUGAAAUUCUUGGAUUUAUUGAAGACUAACUACUGCGAAAGCAUUUGCCAAGGAUGUUUUCAUUAAUCAAGAACGAAAGUUAGGGGAUCGAAGACGAUCAGAUACCGUCGUAGUCUUAACCAUAAACUAUGCCGACUAGGGAUCGGAUGAUGUUAAUUUUUUAAUGACUCAUUCGCGCCUUAA